rnacentral:misc_RNA from 1 species
UUGUUUUUACUUUCUGUCCAGCGUCUACUACCUUGUCAUGUGUAUUUUUAAAAGUAAAAUGAACUGUACAUUUUUAAUUGUACCUAGUGUUGUUUUAAGUGUUAUUACCAUUUUUGAACGGUUGUUGUUGUUGUUAUUGUUUUCAUACUUCAUCAAAAUGGUUUUAAUGUGCUCAGUUUCACUUUGUAAAAGUGUUUCAUUGAAACAACACAAUGUUAAACUACAAAAGUUUGCUACAUCAGAAGAACUUAAGCAUAAAUGGCUAGAUAGUAUUGAGUCAUACUAUCCUAAUUUUAAAAUUAGCAAAUUCAGUUUAGUGUGUAGUAAACAUUUUGCUGAAAUCGAUUUUAUUAAAACCACUAGAUCAAAAUCGUUUUCACUACGUAAAGAUGCAGUACCCUCGUUGUUUGACGUUGAAGAAUGUGUGCAUGUUUUCAAUGAUAGUGAACAUCAAGUUUAUGGUGAUUCUAGUAUUAUUAGCCUAUCUACUGUUGAUGUUAUGGAAGUUGAACCAACAUAAUAUUCAUUUUGUAAAGAUGCAGUACCUACGUUGUUUGACGAUGAAGAAUGUGUGUAUGUUUUUAAUGAUAGGUAGUGAACUUUAUGGUGAUUCUAAUAUUCCUAGCACAUCUAUUAUUGAUGUUAUGGAAACUUCCACAGGUGUAACUACACCACCAAAGAUGAGUAAUAAUUCCAAUAUUUCUGGACCAUCAAACGUUGAUGUUAUAGAAACUUCUAUUUUGGAUAUUCAAGUACCAGUAACUCCAAAAGGAAUGAUGAAUACCACCAAUAAGUCCAUGGAAAGAAAAUAGGUCUAUCUUAAAGGCAGCUAGCAGAUUUAUCAUUUAUAUUGGUUACUUUUUAUAAAACCCUAUGAACAAUUCAAUUACAAUCUCAUAAAAAUAAAAGUAAAGAUUUAUUUCAAAAUACAAAAUUGAUGACACUUAAGACAUAACAUUCACUCUUCUUCUUAAUUGUAUAACGCAUCCAUUGACCAAAAGAGAUGUGCAGAGCAAUGGGUUCAAAGACCACCAGACCAUCAUGUUGACUUGAUUCUUGAUGCAUUUAUUUUGACUGUUCACUGCCACCAAAUUUGAUCGCCCAUAAAAAGGCAAGCUGCACCAGGCAAAUAACUAUGGAUAUGGGAUACAAUUUGCUGUCCUUAGGUAGAGCAAUACUAAAUGGAUUCGAACAUAGUUAUUACUCAUUACUAGCCAUCUUUGACUCAGGCCAUGUCGAACUUUUCAGUGAUGAGAAGUACCUCAAAUUAUGGUUUGUGGAUAGGAAGGUUAGUUGACACAGUCAUCCUUUUUCUCAACCAUUCAACAUGAUAUGCAUUUACCCAAAAAUGAUGAGUAUAUAUAUUGAUAAGAUUGCGUGGGUUCAGUUGAUUUGAUUGCACGUCAGUGUCCUAUGCAUAUGUUGCUGAACCGCGGGUUCGAAAACCUUUGCAUUAUUUUUUAAUUAAUACUCUAUGCAUUUUCUUUGAUCCACUCCCUUCAAAUUUGAGCACCUAAAAGAUGUUCCAACAUGAGACGAGACCGUGUCAAUCUUUCGAUUUUUGGGAAUUCAAAGUAUAUCAAUAAAUCAAUAUGGUAAGCAUAAAUUAUGAAAAGUAAAAUUAAUAUUGUAAUUGUAAUUGUAUCUGUCAAGAUAUGUUUUAAAAUUUGUUACUAUAAACAUUGGUUAAAUAAUACACAAAUCGACCACACAUAUAGAAAAAAUGGCAUUCACCAAUUAGAUUCAACUGAUAGAUAUAUAAUCUGUGAAAGAAUAUUUAAACAGAAUUGGAACAAUAGAAGGUUCAAGAUACUUCCACAAGAAAGUCCAACAACUACCAAAACAAUAUAUGAUGAGUUGUUCAUUAUAAUCGGAGAUAUAUCGACAAAUCUAAAAUUCUUCUAAUGAUAGUUCACAAUAUUAUUCUUAUUAUUUGGUGGGUCAUGAACACGCUCAUGGGCAAUACUAGAAAAAAGUCGGGGCUAUGAAAAUGGACAUUGGCUCCCUUAUUUGGCUCAUUAUUUAUACCCACAGUAGUAAUCCUUGAUUCACAACAUUUAUUAUCAAGCUGCUGUUACGUUAAUUUAUAUCAUCUUGUAUAAUACAAACCGAUUUUAAAAAUAUAAGUAACCUCACAAUAUAAAAAUAAAAUAAUACAUUAAAAAAAUGUAUGAAUAUAUAAUUUGGAUACUACCAUAAAAAUAAUGCCGCUUAGUGCAUGACAGGCAGCGCUCAUUUUUUGUGCCCGCAAGCCACAACUAUAAACAUCAUCAUAGGUCAAGCCAAAAUAUAUCAAAAAAAUUGUCCUCCACCCAAAAAAUAAUUCUUUUUUUCUUUACCAGUUGUGUAGUAAAUGAAUUUCAAGAAUACUAAUCCUGAAUAUAGUACUCAAUCUGUAUUACUCAUAUAAGUAAAACAUUGUACCUAUUUACUUUGUAGGUAUUACAUUUUAAUAGAAAUAAUAUAAUACAUAUUAUAUAUUUUAUUA